rnacentral:snoRNA from 1 species
UUUAAUUUAAAAAAUUAAUUAUGUUAAAUCCUCUUUUGCAACCCAGAACUUGCUCAGUAUGAGUUUUGACACAUAUAAGAAGAAAUAUU